ACGGCUCGGUGUCAUGAACCUUCUCCAUCUGAUUCAAUAAGGGGGAAUUAGCCUUCUUGUCAAAUGGCUAUCCUUGACAAAGGGUACCAUUUAUACCAUAAUCUACAAUGUAGCGGGUAUAGUUUAGUGGUAAAACCCUAGCCUUCCAAGCUAAUGACGCGGGUUCGAUUCCCGCUACCCGCUCCAUUCUGUAUAAAAGGAGUAUUCUAUUUGUCUAGACAUGUUAGAGGCUUGUAUUCAAGCCUUUUUUGUCCACCAGUUUCUGGUACUCCAGA